UGUUUUAAAUGAUUAGUAUAUGCUGACUAUGACCCAUAUGCUGUGGCAGGCGUUUGUAAUGAUCAUGGCAAGACAUAUGCAUUAUAUGCCAUCACUGUACACCGGCGCAACCUAAACAGUGAGGAGAUGUGGAAAACCUAUCGUCGUUAUAGUGACUUCCAUGACUUCCACAUGAGAAUCACUGAACAGUUUGAAAGUCUCUCAAGCAUAUUGAAACUUCCUGGAAAAAAGACUUUUAAUAAUAUGGAUAGAGAUUUUUUAGAAAAGAGAAAAAAGGAUCUAAAUGCAUAUUUGCAGUUACUGUUAGCUCCUGAAAUGAUGAAGGCAUCCCCAGCUUUAGCUCACUAUGUGUAUGAUUUCCUUGAGAACAAAGCUUACAGUAAAGGAAAAGGGGAUUUUGCUCGCAAGAUGGACACUUUUGUAAAUCCACUUCGCAAUUCAAUGAGGAAUGUUUCAAAUGCAGUUAAAUCCCUUCCUGAUAGCUUGGCAGAGGGAAUGACUAAAAUGUCAGACAACAUGGGCAAAAUGUCAGAAAGAUUAGGUCAAGACAUAAAGCAAUCAUUUUUUAAGGUGCCUCCUUUAAUUCCUAAGACUGAUGCAGACCCUGAACAUCGCCGAGUUUCGGCUCAACUUGAUGAUAAUGUGGAUGACAAUAUUCCACUUAGGGUAAUGCUGCUUCUCAUGGAUGAAGUAUUCGACUUAAAAGAAAGAAAUCAGUGGUUGCGAAGGAAUAUCAAAAACCUACUUCAACAGCUUAUUAGAGCUACAUAUGGCGAUACUAUUAAUAGAAAAAUAGUUGACCAUGUUGACUGGAUGACUUCACCUGAACAAGUAGCCGACUCAGUGAAACGUUUCAGAGAUGCAUUUUGGCCAAAUGGCAUUUUAGCAGAGGCUGUUCCAUGCAGAGAUAAAAGUAUUCGAAUGAGAACAAGAGUAGCAGGAAAAACGAAAUUACUUGCAAUUAUGCCAGAUGAGCUGAAGCACAUUAUUGGGGCUGAGACAACACGGAAAGGUAUUCUUCGUGUUUUUGAAAUGUUUCAGCACAACCAAUUAAAUAGGAGAAUGGUUUAUGUCUUCUUGGAAGGCUUUUUAGAAACCUUAUUUCCACAGUAUAAAUUCCGUGAACUUUUCAACAAACUGCAUUCACGGUCAAAGCAGAUGCAGAAAUAUAAACAGAAACUUCAAACUACUCAAGCGCCUUCUUUGCAGAAAAGGUGACACUCCACUCUAUGAAGCUGGUGUUCAUUUUGUCCAGGACUAAUGGUAUGGACAGAUCUUCUGGGGCUUAACUCAAAUACUGUUGUGUCUGCACCAGUCUUUUAGUGUCUCAAAAUAGAUUAUUAAUACAUCCAUAAGUCUGUGGUUCUUCUCAUUCUCAUCUAUAAUCCACCACUACCAAGAGAGAUUUCUGUGUCUUAAAUGAUUUGGUGCAUAUUUUGCAACAUUGAGAGAAAACUGCCCCCAUCUCAAGCAAGAAUGGCGUUGGUUUCUUCCAUUUC
rnacentral:sRNA from 1 species